rnacentral:rRNA from 1 species
UACGUAGGGUGCAAGCGUUGUCCGGAAUUAUUGGGCGUAAAGAGCUCGUAGGCGGUUUGUCGCGUCGGCUGUGAAAACUCGGGGCUCAACCCCGAGCCUGCAGUCGAUACGGGCAAACUAGAGUGUGGUAGGGGAGACUGGAAUUCCUGGUGUAGCGGUGAAAUGCGCAGAUAUCAGGAGGAACACCGGCGGCGAAGGCGGGUCUCUGGGCCGAUACUGACGCUGAGGAGCGAAAGCGUGGGGAGCGAACAGG